rnacentral:lncRNA from 1 species
UUGAAAGUAAAUUUGGUUUUUUUCCCGGGCUGUUUUUAAUUUUUUCUUUUCUGGGAGCUUUGUUGAAAAUUAAGAACUUCAUGGGUGGUAGGUCUCCUCCACUUGAAAUUUACUUGCUUAAUUAGUUAGUAUUUCUGUUUGUUGACCUAUCUAUCCACAAUAUGGUCCAAUAUUUCUUAAUUUCAUGCAUUCAAGUACUACAUGGUAAUGUGAAUGGUGUUGCUGCUGAAAUCCCAUUGAUUUUUCAUCUAAUAUAUAUAUAUAUAUAUAUAUAUAUAUAAAAGCAUAGAACAAACAAAGAAGAAUGAUUAAGAUGGUGGGCAAUUUGGUACUUACCAUCUUGAUUGAUUCCUGGGUACUGGCCAUGUUUUAAAUUUUGCUUUUCAAGGUUUUGUUUCCAGUCAGGGAAAGAAGGUUGCCAGGCUGGGAAAGGUAGGAGUGGCUACGCUGAUUUUAUUUUUUAAAAAAAUUAUUUUUAAUAGUAAAAAUAAUUUUAAAUAAAACAAUUAAUUUUUUUAAAACACCGUUUGCAAAUUUGCAUUAUGCAAUUUCAAAAUGAUCAAUGAUUGGAGCCCAUUUGCGGAAGAUCGGAGCCCCGGUUGCGGUGGCACUGUGGCAGGGAGGUUGUCUUUUAAGGUGGGUUUUUACUUUUUAGGAUUAUAUUAAUAUUUGUUUUUUUUAUUUGAGAAUAUAUUAAAAUAAUAUAUAUUUUUGUUUUUUUAAAUAUAAAAAAUUAAUUUUUUAAAACGCCGAUUAGAAAGUUCGGAGCCCCAGUUGUGGUGGAACUGUAGCAGGGAGCUUGUGCCUUUUAUUGUAUUUUGACCUAUUUGCCCGAAGAUAUUUCGUUGAUAUCAACAGUAAAGCUGUGGGCAGUCUGGGCAAAGCAGUUUUGUGUCCCAACAUUUUGCUUAUCCUUGCAUGAAGGUAAGGUGCUUGACUGCUGUCUGGUCGUGAAUUCACAUGGGAGAUUUUUAUUAUUGUAGUACGGGUGUUUAAAAAAAUCGAGAAAAUAAAAAAAAUUAAAGAAAAAAUAAUUGAAAAUUUUAAAUAGAGAUAAAAAAUUGAUUAAAUUAAUUUUUAAAACUAUAAAAUCUUGUUUGUUUGAUUUUGAUUUUAAAAUAAAAACCAAUGAACUAAACCAAGCCAACUAAAAAACAAAAAGGGUUAUAAAUACUGCAAUUAACUUAACAAUAACAUAACUGAUAACACAAAAAGCCGUUGCCCUCCAUUUUCAAUCUCAAAACUCAAAAGCUAAGCCAUCCCACCCACAAUCCCGAACAAAAACCUACAUCUCCAAAGUUUUUUUUUUAUUUUCUGCGCAACACCUCCAUCUCCUGCACAAGCCGAACAAAAACUAAUAUCUUCAUUUCCUUGGCUUCUUUCUUUAUUUUUGUGCAAGUUACUGGGAAGAUCUGCUUUGUCUUCUUGUCAAAUGGGCAACUUUAAAUCGGUGGCCUGGUAAAAAGUGCGAUUACAACUAGUGCCCGUGAAAGAAGGCUAGCUUUCUCAAUUUAGUUUGUCAUUUUCUUUUAUUUUGUAAAUUUCUUUACCAACAAAUAUUCUUAUUAAUCAGAUGUUAUAUUUGCAGGAUUUGAACAACAAGAUUCUGGUUAAACCGAAAAAACUCAUAUAUGAUAGGAUUAGAUUUCCCGGCUUCAUGGCCAAAAACCAAAUUUCACCAAACCGAUUCAAUUUGAAUUGAUUUUCAAUCCGGUUCGGUUUAACUUUUUUAAAAUUUAAAUUACUUAGUUUGGUUGGUUUUUGUAAUUCAAACCAAACCGAACCGUGAACAAUCCUAUACGGUACUAUGAUAUCCAAGAUUAUAUUUACUGUGCACGUCACUUAUAAUCAAAUGACACUUACAUCAACAGUAAAGUAGUUGUAAGCAUGCUAAGGCUUCUUUGCACAGGAAUUUUAAUAAAUUUUGUUUUUUCUAUUUAAUGUUUUUUUUAAUAUUUUUUUUAUUAGUGUUAAAAAUAAAUUUAGAAAAAUAAAAAAAUAUUAUUUUAAUAUACUUUUAAAAAAUAUUUUAAAAAGCAAAUUCAAUUAUAUUUUUUAAUUCUUAAAUACACUCGUUUGAUAUCAUGAUUUUUUUAAAAUAUGAUAAAAAUUUUUUAAAAUUUUUUUAAUAUGGUUCAUUAAAGCUAUUAAAAAAUAUUAAAAAUAUUUUUUAAACUGAAAUAUAUUUGCUAACAAUCAAUUUCAAAUGCAAAAAUAAACGACAAAGACGGAGAAUCUUGGAGAUUGAAUGGGACUGCCACCAUCAAUAUUGAGUGUGGAAUGUUAGGAGGUGAAGGUGAGAUCAAUAUCAUCAAUAUUUAUGGUGCUUCACCAUAUUUGAGCAUCGGCUUGCCAUAAAUAUCAAGGCAAGGGAUGCUCUAAUUGUGGCGGAAGCAAGACCAGGCAUGGAGCACGUGGCUGGUGGUCUGAAAUGGUGGGGGAGAUGCCUGACUUGUCUCCACGAACUACGUCCCCUUUCAUUACAGUCAUUGGAUCUUGUUAGAAAGCUGCCACAACAUUCAAGCCAGACGACACUCUUGCUAUAAAAAGCCGAUCGACCUCCGUUGAUCUGAGAAACUUAAGACUUGAAAUAUAAUUUUAAAUGAGGUUUUAGUUAUUUAAUUGGAAUUAACUAGCUCAAAUCUAAUUAGAUCAUUGAGAAGGACAAAUUAGUAUGAUUUUAAUAAAAAUAAUUGAUUUAGGUUAACUGACAACUCUAUAAUAUAUAAUUUUUUAGUUUUAUUAUUGCAAAUCUAUAACGGAUGUUAAGAUACUUGAAGUAUCUAGUUCAAAAUUAAAUAAUGUAUAAAAAUCAUAUAAUUAUCAAAUAAAUUAAGAUGAAAGACAAACCAAAACUUUUUAAUUUAGUCACCGGUACGAUAUUACAAGUAUGUUAUCAAAGUAUUAUAGUACAGAGAUUAUUAAAUCAUUCAUAAUAAUAUUAUUGUAUUAAAAUAAGUUGCUGAUGAUUAAACCAAGACAUAAUCAGUUCGUCUUUUGGAGACGACAUGCAUUAGAGGUGAGCAAAAAAAUCGAGAAACCGAAAAAACCGAGAAAACCAAGAAAAAAAUAACCGAAAAAACCGAACCGAAAAAAAAAACCGAUUAAACCGAUUAAAAUUUUGAAAAAACCGACCGGUUCGGUUCGGUAUCGGUUUUAGGCUUAUAAAACCGAAAAAACCGAACCGAACCGAAAAAAAACCCGAAAAAAAACCGAGCCAAACCGGAAAAAAACCGAGCCAAAACCGGAAAAAAAUGAGCCAAAACCGAAAAACCGAGCCAAGCCGGUUUUUCCCCUAAAAAAACCGAACCGAACCGAAACCGGCCGGUUCGAACCGGUUUCGGUUUUUUUUUCCCAAAAAAAAAAAAUUUCGGUUUGGUUACUUUUUUUGAUAAAAACCGAACCGAACCGGUUUUGCUCACCCCUAACAUGCAUCGUCUACAUCAUAUUGUUUAAUGCAGCAAAUCAAUAUUAUGCUACAAGCCAUCUUAGAGAUACAAUAACUUAGGCUAUAUUUGCCAUAACUUUAUAAAAUGGCACCGCUUAUAAAGCUCUCAUACUGUGCUUUUACUGUACUAGAAGAUCAUGCAUGAUAUAAGAUUAAAAUAGACCAUGUUGUAAAUAUAACUAUUCUAAUAUAUCAAAUCAUCAAAUGCGAGGAUCAUAGCAUAUAGAGAUGUAGGUUUUACCGGCCAUUUAAAUCACUAUUAAAACUUGUCACGUUUGGUCAUGAAACAUGGAGGUGCCAUUGUGCCAAAACCUUAGUAUUAACAGUGAAUAUUUGUAAUCCUGAAGGGUGUAGUUUAAUUAGUCAGGUCCGGGUUUGUUUUUUUAGGUCAUCAAUUCGAAUCUCAUAAAUUCCAUGACCACUAGAGACUUACAUGUUCGUUAAAUACAUUGACCUAGACACCCAUAUUAUUAAUAAAAAAAAAACAAUGAAUAUUUAUAGGUUAAUAGGUUGAGACACAUACAUGAAAAAUCCAAAAUAAUUAUUGAUGAAUAUGGUAAUAGAAAAAAAUCACAAAAAAUAUAAAAUUUAACAUGGUUGGAUAAUAUGCUUACUUCCAUAAGAGUAAAGAGCAUUUACUUUUUAUUAUGUUAAAAUAAAAUUACAUGGUACAUAUUUACAAUAAAUGCGUAUUAAUUUCAAUACUUAAUGUAAAUUAAAGUUAAAAAAAUUACAUUUAAUUGUUUUUUAAAAUAUAUAAGUUUGAAGGUAAUACAUGUUAAAUGUUAAAUAUAGUUUUUUAUAUUUUAUCUUGUUUUAUAUAUCACCAAUCAAACAAAUAUAUAAAAACAAUUAUUUUAUAUUACACACCACUAAUAAAUACAAUUUUAUCUUCAUCUCUUGUUUUGUCAUGUCUUCUUUGUCCUUGUAAUGUUCACCUUUUCUGUUAACCAAAUUAUACCCUAGUUCUUCUUACUUGGACUAAAGUUGAUGGCACUAACAUAGAUGCGUGCCUUUUAAGAAAAAAAUUAUAGUGUAUUUGAAGUAUCUAUUGACCCAAUACUUAGUUAUUAUUUUAGUUCAUUUUAAAGAAAGAGAAAAAAAUAAAAUUUAUAGCCCUUAAAAAAUAAUAAAAAUACUUACAUCUAGAAUUUAUGUUUUUUAUAUCUAUAUAUAUUUUUCAAAAUGAACCUAAAAAAUAAAUAAUUGAAUUAAAUUAAAAAUGUUUACCUAACGACAGCUUGCUGGCACGAAUUGAGGUCAGGGUGACUUCACUUUUUUCUACUUAGAUAAUUAUGUUUUUCCAAUGACACAUCACCAGGAUUGCAUCGUUUUCUUCUAACAGCAAGCAAGGACUUUUCUCUAAAUUUUAUAAGAUUUCUCUUGUAAUUUACUAAUUUUUCUUGAAAUUAAGUAGAUCAUGAAGUAUAUAUUUGUUAUUAUGAUUACAGUUUUAAAAAAUAAAAUUUUAAAAAGUUAUGAAUAGCAGAUUUUUUUAAUUAAAUUUUUAUUUUUUUAUUAAGAUACAUAUAAAAUUAUAAUAUAUAUUAAUUAACUUAAUACAUUUAAAAUUACAAUUAAAAUCGCAUACCAAACUGACAUAAAAUAUAACUUCAUAUUUUAAAUUAUUUUAAAAAAUAUCAAAAUAAUACAUUCUUUAUAUAUAUAUAUAUAUAUAUAUAUAUAUAUAUAUAUAUAAACAAAUGCAGCGUCGGCAUAUAAAUCCAGCUGCAGGUUUUCGCUCCUUGGUCUUUGAUUCUUGCCUGUCUCCCUCUCUUGCCCUUCAAACAACUACAGCCACAUCCUGAAGCGUGUCCCUCGAGAUUCUAUAAAAUUAAAAAAUCAUUUCUUUUUCUCAAGCCUCCAAAAAUAUAAGCAGACAAAAUUCUAGUGAUUCAUUAUUUUGUGCUCAAACUUUACUCGCCCUCCAUUAUUGUUUUUCUUCUACAAUCAACAAACACCAUCUUCAUCUUCAACAAUCCCAGCCAAAAAUCAUGCUUGCAGAAUCCAUAUCAAUCUGGGCUUCUAUGAAUAGUUGGUUAACCCCAGCUGUUUUCUUUGUUCUUCUCAAUCUAAUGAUUGGCACCAUUUUUGUAUCUUCAAGACUAGCCACCCAGAAACCUGGUGACCAACGUCAAGAACAAGAAAAACAUGUUCAAGCACAGUAUGGUCAUGGUUACCAGCUUACUAGAUCUCCUUCUGUACUACAAAGACUCAAAUCUAUCAGCUUACAUAGCUAUAGAUCGCAAGAACCUACAACCGUAAAUUUCGAAAAAACUCAAGACUCUGACCAACGUUUCACUUUUCAUCAACAAACCUCUCAACAAGAUUAUCAAUACCACGAAAAUCAAAACCAGCCAACUAUUUCUAGUUCUCCUUCGAUUUUGCAAAAAAUCAAGUCCAUCAACAUUUAUAGUUACUUAUCUCAAGAAUCAUUUAAUCCCACCAGUACCAAAAACCCACGAAAACCAAGAAAGCACGCCAACCCAUUUCACUUCUCAACAAAUUUAUAGCCAAUACAAGAACAUGAUGAACGGCUCCGAGAACAAGAAGAGGAGGAUAGCUUUCAAGACGAAGAAAACGAGCAAAUCCAAGGCCAAGAACAGACUUUUGAUCAGGUAUACAGCAAGUUAGAGGGAAGUAAACUGAGCAAAUCCAUUUCAGAUACAAAACCAGCUUCCGGUGAAGUACCCAAAAAGCUACCAAAGAAAAUGAGGAAAUCUGCAAGCUCAAAAUCUGCCUUUUCUCAUUUUGAAGAGGAUGACAUCGUUGAAUCUCGCAGGCCAGCUACCGUGAGAGAAGGGAAGACCACCACUGAGGUUGGUGACACUGAAGUGGAUGCUAAAGCUGAUGAUUUAUAAACAAAUUUAAGCAGCAGCUGAAGUUGCAGAGGAUGGAUUCUAUUAUAAGGUACAAAGACACGAUUACCGGAGGGAGUUGAAAGUAAAUUUGGUUUUUUUCCCGGGGCUGUUUUUAAUUUUUUCUUUUCUGGGAGCUUUGUUGAAAAUUAAGAACUUCAUGGGUGGUAGGUCUCCUCCACUUGAAAUUUACUUGCUUAAUUAGUUAGUAUUUCUGUUUGUUGACCUAUCUAUCCACAAUAUGGUCCAAUAUUUCUUAAUUUCAUGCAUUCAAGUACUACAUGGUAAUGUGAAUGGUGUUGCUGCUGAAAUCCCAUUGAUUUUUCAUCUAAUAUAUAUAUAUAUAUAUAUAUAUAUAUAUAUAUAAAAGCAUAGAACAAACAAAGAAGAAUGAUUAAGAUGGUG